GGUUGCCAGUGCUUCUGCAUGCUUUUGAUCUGAAGAAAGAAGCUCUAUCAACGCAGUAAUGGAGUUCUGCUUGGAUGAAAGAUCUCUGCAUUCCAAGAACCACAACAGAAUUGUGCGAGCCUAAAUGUAUUUGCGAUUCCACAUCGAAUGGAAACAUCCAAUUCAGGAUAGACAAUAUUUCCUCCAAAACAUUAGCAUUUCUUUCGAAAGA
rnacentral:misc_RNA from 1 species